ensembl:lncRNA
AUAUGUAGAACUGUCCACACAGUGAUGCUGACUGCUACAUGGCAACACCCACCUCUCAUCUCCUGGAUAGAGUCUUAUCGCAAGAAAUGCCUCGGAAAGGUUUCACAGGUAAAAGGUUUCAACACAAAUGCGUGUUUGACUUACUGAAGGUGAAAGAAGUGGUGUUCCCUCAUGCUAGAAGCACAUUCAGUCCUCUGAAAUCAGUGAAACAAUGCCACAAGUCUGUUUUGAGGCAGUUACCAGUGCACCACCACCUUCCCGUUCACUUUGAGAAAAGUGCAAUCAACAAGCAUGGCUAUGCACAGUACAGAAGACAAGGAGAAUGCAAUAGCCUGUGUUUCCUUUUGUCACUCUCAUCUAUGUGAUUCAGAAUAUAUCUGAUAUGAAAUGAACCUCUAACAUUUCAUCUUUUUCAAGACAUCAUAUGAAGAAAGUGAAAAAUAGAAAUGAUUUUGUUCACUUAGAGUCAAUUUCUACUGAGAGCUGUAUCAGAAGAGUUCCAGCGUCGUGACUGAUUUUGGGCAUCUGGCUGUGAGUGUUUGUUCCCACUUCUGACAGGGGACUCCCACAUGCAGCUCCUGCCUUCUCCCUUGUGUGUUUUCUUUUCACCUCCCUCACAGAAGCCACUUUUCCUGAGAAAUGGGAAAACCUUCAGCAUGUCCUCUUGCCCCGAGGGCUGUUGGCUGGGUGUCUUUUCUCUUUGAAGGUGAGAGACAUCUGCUUACUGUCAUGGGCUACUCAGAAAGCAGAGGCCAGAGCUGGCAGCUUCCAGAUGGGUCCUUUGUAUCACCCAGAAAUGCAGGAGGAGAGAGAUCUCAAUGCCAUGUAGGAAAGGAGGAGGCGAAGGUGCUGAGCUCCUGCAUGGCCAAGGAGGAGAAAGGAUUGAGAAAGGCCACACCAUGGGGAGAAAUGCCAGUUUGUGUCAGAAGGAAGGUGACUGGAAGGCAGUCAGACCGGGGGACCUUGGCAGACUGUGGUAUUUUACAGAGCCUUGGAGAUGACAAAGCAGCUGCUUCCCCUGUGCUUGACUGAACACUUUCUCCACAAGCCACUGGCCAGCUCCAAAGAAAAUGUCUGAAUUUGGAGAGAGAGAUCUAUCUCAUCCUCUAUUCAGUUUGUGUAAUUUCUGUGUACCUGAACCAUUCCUUAGGACUGUGUUCAGCUCAUGGUAGCUGAGAGCACUCUUCAGGAGCUGUGGAGAGCACUCUCCCUUCUUGAUCACCUGUUGACUGCUACAAUGGCCAUUAUUUCUCUUAGGAGUUUUUGAUUGCGUUUUCUGAAGGAAUCAAAUUUUGCUUGUGCUAUGUUAACUACAUAUGAGACUCAGUCUUUUCAAAAGUGUGGCACAAGAAAGCUUAAUGCCCUGGCUCUGGUGUCCCUGAUGUGGGGAAAAAGCUCAAACUGCUCCUGCUGAGCAGCACCAGAGGACUAGAUUUAGAUAGGAAGUUGCCCUGUGAUUGUAAUUGUGUCCAGGGUUAAACAGUAGCUGAGAUUUAUGCAUUGUUUUGUUGGUGGCCUGUCAGUUGUGCCUUAGCCUCAUGUUAGUUGCCCGAGUCCUUUAGUGGAUGUAGUUUUUAGUAAUAUUUGCAACACACAGAUUUAUAGUUGCAUUUAUUCCGGAGGAAUCUAAUCACAGCAUUGCUUUAGCAAAUGUAGCUGUAUCAGAGGCAAACAGUGCGUGAAUUAUGUGUCUCAGCAGGAUUGAUUGUGCCCUUAGGAGCUAUCAGCAGCACCCAGAGAACAAUUACCUUCUCCUGCUCGCAAUAAUGAAGUACAAUUUAGAAACAGAAAAUCAUUAUGUAAAACUUUGAGAAAUGACACAAUUACAGUACAUUACACAUACUUUUGUCAUAGGCUUUGCUUAUUACAUAACAUCUAAAUUUCUUCUGAAAGAGAAUUCUGUUGUGCUGGUUUCAUGCUGCAAUGCAUUUUGCCUUUCUGUUAAAUCACAAAAGAGAGGUUUUUAGGGCUGAAAAUACAUACAUCCAGAAAAUUCAAAGAACUUGCUUAUAAAGGGAAGUAGUACUUGAAAUAAUAAGUUAUCACAUUAAUUUCUGAUUGACUAAUAGGAUGUGACCUGCUCAUUUGCUAGUAUCUAUUUCAUAUUUUGCAACGAAAUAUAACUCAAAGAAAUG